CUCCUCUGUCCCUUCGCUCUCCUCCUCCCACAUAAUCUUUCUAGGGUUUUUCCCAAGAGCCCUUUUUUGCAACAACUGCGGCGGAUCGAUCCACCGCGACGACCAAAAAUGGGAACCCUAGAUCGCAAAAAGAAGCGAUAGCAGGGGAGCUUUGUGGAGAAGCUGUGAGAGGAAGAGAUGCAUUGAGUGGUGGGAAGCUGUUUAGCAGGCUCAGACCCAGCAAAACAAGCUAUAACUCUCCAGGCCCAAAAGCGGAUAGGCGCCGUGGCAUGUCGAGUUAAGAAACCGGGGCCGACACAACUGUCUCUCACUGAUAUACCCAAAAGGAUCGGAUCGAGAUUGCGGCCCUUCGGUCAGGCCCAAGUUCGAUCUUAUAUGUGGUCCAGCAGUUCGGCGAACUGGGAUCGUUUCGGCUUCUCAGAUAGCUUGAUACAACCUGAGGCCAUUUUCUUAAUAUAAUGUUAUGUGAGUAGAGUUGUUUGAGAAUGAUUUUAUCCGAUGAAGGCUGCAAUGAUAAAAUAAUGUGUGGCUUUACCUAUUUCUUUUGUUAUUAAACCAUCUGGACAUUGAUUUGUA